rnacentral:lncRNA from 1 species
AUGGAGGGCGGGCGAAGAGGUAAGGUACUCUCUGCACGCUCCAGACCACGAGAAUUUCUUUCCAGUUUCUCAGCCGGGAUUCUGGGGUCUCCAGAGCUGGGAAACAACAGUAAAAGAGGAAGCAGGUGCUCGGCACCUCUUGCUCUCUUGAGCAGCUCAUUGAAGAGAAACAAAGGUGCCUCGAAGGGGACCUCUCUUGGGGGUGAUGAAAAUCUUUUUUCCCUUCUGCUCAUUUGUGUCACAUUCUUCCAUUGGGCCGGGCGACUGACAGGUGCACCCUUCCCCAGGCCCCUUUCAGAGUCCCCUCCCUGCUGUUUGUGUCUCACCCAGAUAUCCAGCAGACACCGCCUUUACAGGAGCUAAAUAUGAUUAGUAGAAACCCUUCCUGACAGCUCCAAAGAGAAGCCCUCAAAUGCAUAUGCUAUUGAGUGCAUCUCAUCGCUGCUGACAGUCACUUUAUCAAUUAAAUUCCACCUUCCCAGUCUUCAGAGACACCACCAACCUCCCUACCUAAUAAAUCACAGACCCCAGUUAUCGUUAAAUGUCCCAUCAGUCUCUAAUAAACCCCUUGCCAACAGGAGCAGGUUAUUUAUUAUGCUGCCUGGACAAAAAUGAAUUGGGCCCCGUUCUCAGAAGAGCAAACGUGAUGCCUUUCUCCCUAAAGACUGAGGCUGUGGUAUUAAAUGGGGCAAUUCAUCAAUGUGGGCCUUGAGCAGAGGGGAGUCUGGUCGAGAGAGAGAGAGAGAGAGAGAGAGAGAGAGAGAGGAACCCGGGCCUUUGCUGCUUCUCCCCUGCUCCUCAUACCUGUCUGAAAACACUAAGGAUUUGGUCACCCCACAGGCCAAGGGGCACAUGUGAAAAUAGUUAUUCUCCACAUCAAAAGUUCGCUAUGUAGGAUCCAACAAGGUCAUGAAACAAAAAUUCUGUCCAGAAGGCCAGAUACUGUUACUUAAUAAACUUGACAUAACUUAAAGUUAUGGAUGGUACUAGUCCACUGAGUAGAUGAACUGAAGAAUACAGGAGGAAGGGUUCCCUUUGCCUGGAAGAGAGAACCAGAAAACACGUGCUCAGUCACUGUUUGUGGGCUAAGCAGCACAUAGGUAAGCACUGACUCUCAAAAAGGGGCGUUUAACACCUAAAAGACCCUGUUAGGUGUGAGAAACAGUGUGUAGAGUGGGCCUUGUAGUUACUGCCUCAUGUUAGAUCCCAAACUGAGAGGAUGCUCGAUGGUCUGCAAGUGACAAUCCAAACUCCUCAGCUUUGUCAUCAAGCCCUAGCCUGUAUUUCCAAUUGCAUUUCUCUCUGUUGUGACCUAACACUAUCCCACUCUGGGCAAGCAUAACAUUAAUUUGAUAUUCCUUGUGGUGGCAGGCAAGGCCCUCUAGACUAUGGGACCAAUAUAUCUCUGCAACCUUAUUCCUGGUAAUUGCUGCCAUACUUGCCUCCGCUCACGCUGAAGCUCAUACCUUCCUAACUGCUGUGGUUCUCAUGCUUCCACGCCUUUGCACAAACUGUUCCUUCUGCCCAGAAUAUCUUUCUACGUUGUCUGCCUGGUGAGCUUUCUUUCCACCCCCACUGCCUGAUUGAAUUCCUUAUCUAUCCUCCAGGAUCAGCUCAGAAAAUCAGUCCCCAGUGCUUCAAGGCACUAGGACUUUGUCUCCUGGUGCUGCUGUCAUGGCAGAAGGACUCGACUCUAGGGAGUAGGAAAAGAGCGAUCUGGGCAUGGAGGUUUUCUUCUAGUUCUGUGCACGCUUUAAACCACUUUGAUUUGAGGUGGGGAGAGAAGAUCAUAGAGUAAAAAGCUGCUGGUCUCUGAAUACCAAAAGCUGUUUUUCUCCAUUUCUCAGAAGUUCUCACUGUCUCCCACAUGACAGCCACACUUUGAGCAGCUAAGGCUCUGAAAAAUGUCAGUGCUGCAUAUAAUUGUACAGCACCUUGUGCUACUUGUAUAUUUCCUCCUUGGUCAGUGCUGUCUGUUUGCACGUAUCUUUCUGCUUGAGGGCAAGUGCUCUGUUUAUUUUGUCCCAUCUUUGUAUCUCCAGCAUUUGGCUGAUUUACAAAUCAGCCUUUAGAUUUAGGCCUUUAGAUUUCUGUUGCAAGAAUGGUACUAGUCCACUGAGUAGAUGAACUGAAGAAUACAGGAGGAAGGGUUCCUUUGCCUGGAAGAGAGAACCAGAAAACACGUGCUCAGUCACUGUUUGUGGGCUAAGCAGCACAUAGGUAAGCACUGACUCUCAAAAGGCGUUUAACACCUAAAAGACCCUGUUAGGUGUGAGAAACAGUGUGUAGAGUGGACCUUGUAGUUACUGCCUCAUGUUAGAUCCCAAACUGAGAGGAUGCUCGAUGGUCUGCAAGUGACAAUCCAAACUCCUCAGCUUUGUCAUCAAGCCCUAGCCUGUAUUUCCAAUUGCAUUUCUCUCUGUUGUGACCUAACACUAUCCCACUCUGGGCAAGCAUAACAUUAAUUUGAUAUUCCUUGUGGUGGCAGGCAAGGCCCUCUAGACUAUGGGACCAAUAUAUCUCUGCAACCUUAUUCCUGGUAAUUGCUGCCAUACUUGCCUCCGUUCACGCUGAAGCUCAUACCUUCCCUAACUGCUGUGGUUUCUCAUGCUUCCACGCCUUUGCACAAACUGUUCCUUCUGCCCAGAAUAUCUUUCUACGUUGUCUGCCUGGUGAGCUUUCUUUCCACCCCCACUGCCUGAUUGAAUUCCUUAUCUAUCCUCCAGGAUCAGCUCAGAAAAUCAGUCCCCAGUGCUUCAAGGCACUAGGACUUUGUCUCCUGGUGCUGCUGUCAUGGCAGAAGGACUCGACUCUAGGGAGUAGGAAAAGAGCGAUCUGGGCAUGGAGGUUUUCUUCUAGUUCUGUGCACGCUUUAAACCACUUUGAUUUGAGGUGGGGAGAGAAGAUCAUAGAGUAAAAAGCUGCUGGUCUCUGAAUACCAAAAGCUGUUUUUCUCCAUUUCUCAGAAGUUCUCACUGUCUCCCACAUGACAGCCACACUUUGAGCAGCUAAGGCUCUGAAAAAUGUCAGUGCUGCAUAUAAUUGUACAGCACCUUGUGCUACUUGUAUAUUUCCUCCUUGGUCAGUGCUGUCUGUUUGCACGUAUCUUUCUGCUUGAGGGCAAGUGCUCUGUUUAUUUUGUCCCAUCUUUGUAUCUCCAGCAUUUGGCUGAUUUACAAAUCAGCCUUUAGAUUUAGGCCUUUAGAUUUCUGUUGCAAGAAUGAAUAGAGAUGUUUGCAGAUUGAAUGCAAAUAAUAAGGUUGCCUACCCUUUGUUGCUCUGAGGAUCAAAUGAGAAAAAGUGGCUAUAAAAAUCUUAGUUCUUGAAAUAUACACAUUACCGUGUGUAAAAUAGUGGGAAGUUGCUGUGUAACAAGGGAGCUCAGCCCAGUGCUCUGUGAUGGCCUAGAGGGGUGGAAUGGGGUAGAGGGGUGGGAGGGAGGUUCAAGAGGGAGGGGAUAUAUGUAUGCUUAUGGCUGAUUCACACUGUUGUAUGGCAGAAGCCAACACAACACUGUAAAGCAAUUAUCCUCCAAUUAAAAAUAAAUCUAAGGACUUCCCUGGUGGUACAGUAGGGAGGAAUCUGCCUACCAGUGCAGGUGACGCGGAUUCAAUCUCUGGUCCAGGAACAUUCCGCAGGCUGUGGAGCAACUAAGCCCUUGUGCCACAACUAUUGAGCCUGUGCUCUACAGUUGCUACUACCGAUCCCCUGUGCUGCCAGUACUGUGCGCCCUAGAGCCUGUGCUCUGCAACGAGAGAAGCCACAGCAAGGAGAAACCUGUGCACCGCAACUAGAGAAACCCCCUCGUGCAAAGAACCCAUGGAACAAAAAAUAAUAAAUAAAUAAAUAAGUGCUAUUAAAAAAAAAACUUAGUUCCUUCCUUUUUUUCCCACAUAGUCCCAUGGAUCCUCACACCCAGGUGGGCCACCUUAUACUCCUGUCUUUAUUUACAUUAUUUACCUUUCCUCUGGGU